rnacentral:rRNA from 1 species
AUUGAACGCUGGCGGCGGGCCUAACACAUGCAAGUCGAACGAGUGGCGGACGGGUGAGUAAUGUCUGGGAAACUGCCUGAUGGAGGGGGAUAACUACUGGAAACGGUAGCUAAUACCGCAUACCAUCGGAUGUGCCCAGAUGGGAUUAGCUAGUAGGUGGGGUAACGGCUCACCUAGGCGACGAUCCCUAGAUGGUCUGAGAGGAUGACCAGCCAAACGGGAACUGAGUGACGGGCCAGACGCCUACGGGAGGCAGCAGUGGGGAAUAUUGCACAAUGGGCGAAAGCCUGAUGCAGCCAUGCCGCGUGUAUGAAGAAGGCCUUCGGGUUGUAAAGUACUUUCAGCGGGGCGGCGGUAGCCGGAGAAGAAGCACCGGCUAACUCCGUGCCAGCAGCCGCGGUAAUUC